AAAUUGAGAGUUUGAUCCUGGCUCAGGACGAACGCUGGCGGCGUGCCUAAUACAUGCAAGUCGAGCGAGCUGAA
rnacentral:rRNA from 1 species